rnacentral:lncRNA from 1 species
GGGAUGUGGCUCAGUGUUUAAGUACCCCUGGGUUCAAUCCCCAGUACCAAAAAAAAAAAAAAUGCUGUACACAGAAACCCAGCAACAUGCAGAGUUAAUCAAGUUUACUUAUGACCCACUCCUUUAACACAACUUGGUUCUUGAGAGACCCAAUGGAACCAAGUCUUCCACAGAGUUUUUUUUUGUUUGUUUUUUGUUUUUUGGUUUUUUUUGUACCAGGGAUUGGACCCAGGGGUGCUUAGCCACUGAACUGCAUUCCCAGUCAUUUUUAUGUUGAGACAGGGUCUUGUUAAAAGUCACAGAUUUAACAAGUUGUCUGCAAAAUUUUCAUUUCCCUCUUCAGAAUUUUUUACAACCCCUAUUUAUUUUUUAGAGAAAGAGAAAAGAGAAAGAGAGAAUUUUUUAAUAUUUAUUUUUCAGUUUUCAUUGGACACAACAUCUUUAUUUUAUUUUGAUGUGGUGCUGAGGAUCGAACCCAGUGCCCCGCACAUGCCAGACGAGCGCGUUACCACUUGAGCCACAUCCCCAGCCCACAAACCCUAUUUAUUUACCUUCUGUAGAGUGGCAUUUAACCAUUUUUCCAUUGUGCACCUAAUGCACCUGCCUUGUUCAGAUUGGCAUGUCUAGAUUGCUGUAGCCUGUCACUCUGCAAUACAGUUACAAUACAGUUUUUUCAUAUUAUAUUCAUAAUAUUCAUAUUAUAUUCAUAAGCUUGCCAGUGGUUUCUUAUUCCUUACAGAGUAAAUUAACUUCCUCAGCUGGCAAUAAAGAGUUCAAUCAUCUGUCUCCCUUCAAUUUAUUAUCUUUUCACUAUUUUGGCCUCAUCUGCCUCAAAUUCAAACACCAGAGCUUAGGUCCCACUGAUCUCCUGCCCAGUGCCUUUGCUUGGACUGCUUUGUGCUUAAUGUAUAUUUCUUUCUCAUACCUGUCCAACAAAACACUUUCCAUCUUUUGAACUCUGCUCAAAAUUUUCCCACAGAAAAAAAAUGUUAUAUAACAUGUUUUCCAUCUCAAUUAACUUAUUUUUCCCCAACUCUUUCUCUCAGUGCUUUAUACUAUUGUAGUGCUUGUCACACUAUGCCUCAUUAUCACUUUGAGAUGUUUCUCCCACUUGAUUUCUGAGCUCUUAGAAUAGAAGGAUUUUAAAGGAAUUAUCUUUGUAUCUACCACAUUAUUUAAUUCUGUUCCUUUUAUAUGGCUUUCAUUACAUGUCUUUGUAUUUGAAGUGAACUUAGCAUAUUCAUCAAAAGCCUGAAGCUAGCAGCAGAGACAGUUCUGAAAUCUCUCUCCCUAUAACUAGCUCAGUAUUCUGUCACACUUUUGGAGCUAGAAGCAAGAAUGUUAACAAGCUCUCCAGGUGAUACCAAGGUUCACACAUUAAGACAAAAAAUGGUGUAAGAGAGAACACAGAUACAACUCAGAAAAACAAACAUUGAAAUAGCUGCAGGCAGAAAGAAGAUGAGCUGGUGUUCACUGAGGAGAAACAUCUAGAUCCUGCUUGGGAAGUGAGGGAAUCUCUAAACAUGGGUCCUGACCCCACUGAGCCAAUCAUAGCAAGGCACACAUCCUACAGAAUACACUAGACAACGUGGGUCAAUAUUCCUGGAAAGGAAAAGGUAAAGGGGAUUUUUAAGAAGCCUGAGGAAAGUUUUGAGUCCAAACUAACCUCCCCAUAAACAUAUUAUUGAAAUUUAGUUACAGGAACAAAAACUGGCAUUCAUGUUUGUUCUUCCUUAGAACAGCAGUUGAGCUUUUUGUUUGUUUGUUUUGGGGAACUGGGGAUUGAACCCAGAGGCACUUAACACUGAGUCACAUCCCCAGCUCUAUUUU